rnacentral:siRNA from 1 species
UUGAAAAUGUCAAGUGCUUACC